GUGUUGGCUUGGUCGAAGACCGUUUUUCACAUUAUGCCAUGUGUUAUUUGGUUCAAAACGAAGCCCAAAGCAAUUUUUGUUACGACGGUCACUGGUUUCGGCAUUUCAGUCACUUCAGUAACUUUUACGUGCAAUUACAAAU